rnacentral:rRNA from 1 species
CCUACGGGUGGCAGCAGUGGGGAAUAUUGGGCAAUGGGCGCAAGCCUGACCCAGCAACGCCGCGUGAAGGAAGACGGCUUUCGGGUUGUAAACUUCUUUUGUCAGGGAAGAGUAGAGGACGGUACCUGACGAAUAAGCCACGGCUAACUACGUGCCAGCAGCCGCGGUAAUACGUAGGUGGCCAGCGUUGUCCGGAUUUACUGGGUGUAAAGGGCGUGUAGCCGGGUUGACAAGUCAGAUGUGAAAUCCUGCGGCUUAACCGCAGAACUGCAGUUGAAACUGUUGUUCUUGAGUACUGGAGAGGCAGAUGGAAUUCGUAGUGUAGCGGUGAAAUGCGUAGAUAUUAGGAGGAACACCAGUGGCGAAGGCGGUCUGCUGGACAGCAACUGACGGUGAGGCGCGAAAGCGUGGGGAGCAAACAGGAUUAGAUACCCGAGUAGUC